rnacentral:rRNA from 1 species
CAGUAGCCACGGUAAUACGUAGGGUGCAAGCGUUAAUCGGAAUUACUGGGCGUAAAGCGUGCGCAGGCGGUUAUAUAAGACAGAUGUGAAAUCCCCGGGCUCAACCUGGGAACUGCAUUUGUGACUGUAUAGCUAGAGUACGGCAGAGGGGGAUGGAAUUCCGCGUGUAGCAGUGAAAUGCGUAGAUAUGCGGAGGAACACCGAUGGCGAAGGCAAUCCCCUGGGCCUGUACUGACGCUCAUGCACGAAAGCGUGGGGAGCAAACAGGAUUAGAUACCCCCGUAGUCCCUGUCUCUUAUCC